UGAAUACGAGACGCUAAGGCGUCGAAGUAGUGUAUGUCAUACUUCCAAGAAAAGCUUGCACUGUCAUAGAUAAAAAACGCCUGUACCAUAACCGACACAGGUGGGUAGGUAGAGUAUACUAAGGGGCGCGAGAUAACUCUCUCUAAGGAACUCGGCAAAAUAACUCCGUAACUUCGGGAGAAGGAGUGCCUCAUUCUUAAGGUUGCAAUAACAAGAUCCAAGCAACUGUUUAUCAAAAACACAGGUCUCCGCUAAGUCGUAAGACGAUGUAUGGGGGCUGACGCCUGCCCAGUGCCAGAAGGUUAAAGAAGCUGGUUAGCAAUUGCGAAGCUGGUGACUGAAGCCCUGGUGAACGGCGGCCGUAACAAUAACGGUCCUAAGGUAGCGAAAUUCCUUGUCGGGUAAGUUCCGACCCGCACGAAAGGCGUAAUGAUUUGGAUACUGUCUCGGAGAGGGGCUCGGUGAAAUAGACUUGUCUGUGAAGAUGCGGACUACCUGCACCAGGACAGAAAGACCCUAUGAAGCUUUACUGUAACUUGAAAUUGAAAUUGGACUUUAUUCGCGCAGCAUAGGUGGGAGGCGUUGAUUAUAAUCUUGCGGGAUUAUUGGAGCCAUUAGUGAGAUACCACUCUUGUAAUGUUAGAUUUCUAACUUUGAAUCAUUAUCUGGUCAAAGGACAGUUUCAGGCGGGCAGUUUGACUGGGGCGGUCGCCUCCCAAACGGUAACGGAGGCGUACAAAGGUUUCCUCUGAACGGUUAGAAAUCGUAUCUAGAGUGUAAAGGCAUAAGGAAGCUUGACUGUGAGACCUACAAGUCGAGCAGGGACGAAAGUCGGUCUUAGCGAUCUGACGGUACUGAGUGGAAAGGCCGUCACUCAACGGAUAAAAGUUACUCUAGGAUAACAGGCUGAUCUCCCCCAAGAGUUCACAUCGACGGGGAGGUUUGGCACCUUGAUGUCGGCUCAUCGCAUCCUGGGGCGGUAGUACGUCCCAAGGGUUGGGCUGUUCGCCCAUGAAAGCGGUACGCGAGCUGGGUUCAGAACGUCGUGAGACAGUUCGGUCCAUAUCCGGUGUAGGCGUUAGAAUAUUGAGAGGAGCCUUCUUUAGUACGAGAGGACCGAGAAGGACAUACCUCUGGUGUACCAGUUAUCGUGCCAACGGUAAACGCUGGGUAGCUAUGUAUGGAGUGGAUAACCGCUGAGAGCAUCUAAGUGGGAAGCCCACCUCAAGAUAAGUAUUCC
rnacentral:rRNA from 1 species